ACGAAGGGGGCGAGCGUUGUUCGGAAUCACUGGGCGUAAAGGGCGCGUAGGCGGCGGAUCAAGUCAGGCGUGAAAGCCCCGGGCUCAACCUGGGAACUGCCUUUGUGACUGCAAGGCUGGAGUGCGGCAGAGGGGGAUGGAAUUCCGCGUGUAGCAGUGAAAUGCGUAGAUAUGCGGAGGAACACCGAUGGCGAAGGCAAUCCCCUGGGCCUGCACUGACGCUCAUGCACGAAAACGUGGGGAGCAAACAGGA
rnacentral:rRNA from 1 species